ACCCGUGCAGCGCAAUCGCUAGCGCGUUGGACUUUUAAUCCAAGGGUCGUGAGUUCGAAUCCCACCUGGGAUG